UCGAGAGAUGAUGUCUGUGUGUGUGUGUGGAAGAACUGGAGAAGGGGGAAGGGAGAAGACUGAGAACGAAGACUCAGAGAGAGAAGAGAGAGAAGAGAGAGAUUGAGACGGUUCGAGAGAGAAGGAAGGAAUGAUCGAGAGAGAGACUGAGGUCAGUCUCUGUGUGCUGUGUGGUGUGCGUGUGUGGUGUGGUGUGGGGGGUCUCGAAGUGCGUGUGUGGUGGAGUGUGAGUGUGAGUCAUUUUUGACUGUCUGUGGUGGCGUGUAAGAAAAAAAAAGCAUCCAAUGAUCCAAAUAAUUCAAAACCUAUCUCUAGCUCUCUGAUCCAAUGAUCCAAAUAACUUUUUGCAAUUUCAGACCAUGGACAACAAAUAAUAGUGCUUUCAUAAUGAAAUCGUGUGACAGUCCGUAAGAUUCUUUCACAUGCAAAACAGUGUGUCAAUGUCUGUUAUAUACUUACAUUCUUUCACCUUAUCAGAGGUGGAGUAUCAGAGGCAUUCACAGAAUUUUCGUUUCUUCUUCUUCCCAUACCAUUUUCAAAACCAUUCCAGAUCCAUUCCAAAGCUUGAACACAAAGGGUUCCAUAUUUAAGGUAAGUUUACAAACUUAAAUUUAU
rnacentral:lncRNA from 1 species